rnacentral:rRNA from 1 species
GGACGAACGCUGGCGGCGUGCUUAACACAUGCAAGUCGAACGGAAAGGCCCUGCUUUUGUGGGGUGCUCGAGUGGCGAACGGGUGAGUAACACGUGAGUAACCUGCCCUUGACUUUGGGAUAACUUCAGGAAACUGGGGCUAAUACCGGAUAGGAGCUCCUGCUGCAUGGUGGGGGUUGGAAAGUUUCGGCGGUUGGGGAUGGACUCGCGGCUUAUCAGCUUGUUGGUGGGGUAGUGGCUUACCAAGGCUUUGACGGGUAGCCGGCCUGAGAGGGUGACCGGCCACAUUGGGACUGAGAUACGGCCCAGACUCCUACGGGAGGCAGCAGUGGGGAAUAUUGCACAAUGGGCGGAAGCCUGAUGCAGCAACGCCGCGUGCGGGAUGACGGCCUUCGGGUUGUAAACCGCUUUCGCCUGUGACGAAGCGUGAGUGACGGUAAUGGGUAAAGAAGCACCGGCUAACUACGUGCCAGCAGCCGCGGUGAUACGUAGGGUGCGAGCGUUGUCCGGAUUUAUUGGGCGUAAAGGGCUCGUAGGUGGUUGAUCGCGUCGGAAGUGUAAUCUUGGGGCUUAACCCUGAGCGUGCUUUCGAUACGGGUUGACUUGAGGAAGGUAGGGGAGAAUGGAAUUCCUGGUGGAGCGGUGGAAUGCGCAGAUAUCAGGAGGAACACCAGUGGCGAAGGCGGUUCUCUGGGCCUUUCCUGACGCUGAGGAGCGAAAGCGUGGGGAGCGAACAGGCUUAGAUACCCUGGUAGUCCACGCUGUAAACGGUGGGUACUAGGUGUGGGGUCCAUUCCACGGGUUCCGUGCCGUAGCUAACGCUUUAAGUACCCCGCCUGGGGAGUACGGCCGCAAGGCUAAAACUCAAAGGAAUUGACGGGGCCCCGCACAAGCGGCGGAGCAUGCGGAUUAAUUCGAUGCAACGCGUAGAACCUUACCUGGGUUUGACAUGGAUCGGGAGUGCUCAGAGAUGGGUGUGCCUCUUUUGGGGUCGGUUCACAGGUGGUGCAUGGCUGUCGUCAGCUCGUGUCGUGAGAUGUUGGGUUAAGUCCCGCAACGAGCGCAACCCUUGUUCACUGUUGCCAGCACGUUAUGGUGGGGACUCAGUGGAGACCGCCGGGGUCAACUCGGAGGAAGGUGGGGAUGACGUCAAGUCAUCAUGCCCCUUAUGUCCAGGGCUUCACGCAUGCUACAAUGGCUGGUACAGAGAGUGGCGAGCCUGUGAGGGUGAGCGAAUCUCGGAAAGCCGGUCUCAGUUCGGAUUGGGGUCUGCAACUCGACCUCAUGAAGUCGGAGUCGCUAGUAAUCGCAGAUCAGCAACGCUGCGGUGAAUACGUUCCCGGGGCUUGUACACACCGCCCGUCAAGUCAUGAAAGUUGGUAACACCCGAAGCCGAUGGCCUAACCGUUGUGGGGGAGCCGUCGAAGG